rnacentral:lncRNA from 1 species
UUUUUAUUCCUUUUUUACCCCCCAAGAUCCAGCAAAGGAUAAAGAGAAUUGAGGCACUGAAUUCAUCCUCAACACAGAAUGAUUUUUCUUUUUUCUCUAAUUUUAGAACUUUAAAAAAGUAACUCCCCUUCACACAUUACAGGAAAUAUGAAUAAAAGAACAUUGCUUAGUAGGUUUAUAAAUUUUAUCCAUAACAUGCUACUGUGCAGAUUCAUUUGAAAUAAAGCAGGCUGAGCCCAGGCGUAAGGACUAAGCUCGUUCUGAGGGCCAAGGUGAGUCCCUCCACCGCCUGGGGCUGGGGGUGGGGGUGCCGCUCUCCCUCAGCAGCUGCCCCUGCAAACUCCCCUUCUUCUAGUGGAAGCUGACCCAUGCAGCCUGGCCACUGGGUGUUAGCGACUCCACGCUGCCACGUUGAAGUUUCCACAGCCCCUCGUGAGAACCUCCAGUGGGUCUGAGUGACCUUGGCCUUGGGCAAAGCCAAGCGGGAACUCCCCCUCUGCUGACUUGCCCUGUGAGAGCUCUGGGGUCUGAGCAGGGUAAAAACUACCCCGCUGCCUAUUUUUCUCUUCCUGCUGGGUCCCUCCUCAGCUCCUCCGCCACCUCCCCUGGGUCCUCUCUGGCCAGCUCCGUUUUGUGUUUGGGCCAAGUGGGAAAAAAGCAUUUGGCUCUGCUCCUUGUUUGUCAGGAGUCCAGCAUUACCAGGGGUCUCGCCUGGUUUCAAGUAUUUCCCGGUGCCUUUCCUUGCUCCGUAGUCAAGUUUCUAGCCAGGAUUUCUUGGCUCUGGGAGAGAUUGAGUGCCUGUCUGAGCCUUCGAGGCCUGUGUUUCAUUUGCAGCCGCCUGGCUCUAACUGGGUGACAGUCCUGGCCCUCCCCAUCAGUGAGCCCAUCCCCUCUGCUUGGCCAGCAGAGGAGGCCCUUUGUGUCGUCGUCCUGUCGCUUGGGAGGGAGGAGGCUCCUAGUUUCCGUCCCCAGCCCUGUGUCCUGGGUUUACUGCCAUCCCACCUCAGGUUCAGGGGUGGCACUGCCUUCCAAGAGCGAGCAAUUCCUGCCUGUCUGCAAAGCAGGAAUGCCAACCCCAAACCGCCCCAGCCCCUAACUGUUUCUAAGGCAGACGAGGACCUGCUCAGCACCUGGUGCUUUCCUGCUAGAAACUUCCAGCUGUUCUGAUCUUUCACACAGGGCUUGGCAAGGCUGAAAAGGUCUGGAAGCAAAUGAAUUCAGGAAGCCUGCAGAACAUCAGGCCCGGACUGGUGGGCCUCUCCCUCUCCCUGAUUAAGGAACCCUCAUAGACUCCCCAGUCACUUCCUGCCUUUGGAUCCAUCUGGGGCAGAGGGCCUGAUGGGACCACUAGCCCCUGGAGUCUAAGCCCCAGGGAAGAGCCAGCAGUUUACCGUUGUGACACCAUGCCCCAGGCAAGGUGCCCAAGGGUUGCCAGGCCAGUGCAGAGAAAGGGUGUGAGCCAGGGCUGCAGUUUCCAGGAGCCAACUUGGGAGCCUGUUAAGGACAUGGGCACAGAAGCAAAGAACCUGGGGACCCUGAUGUGUCCUCAUCACCAUAGGUACCACGAUCACUGAAGGUCCCACUAAAUACCCAAGUAUUUGUAGCCCAUCGACGGUAACAGUCAGGGGCGAGCAAUUAUAAUCAUCCGAGGAGGAAAAGGGCACUGUUGGUGAGGUUUUCCUCUUUGCACGUCUGACACCCUAGUAAGUAGGUAAGAGAUAAACCAGUAGUUGGAAAGGCGCCCUGCCUGUGUGCCCCAUCCUGUCAGCCCAGCAUGGACUUCCAGCUGCCUCCCCCAGGGUCACUAAACCGCCCCAGCUGACUUCCGCCUGGGAGCGAGCGCAGCAGAGGCCCGGCUGGGGUGUUAGGGAAAGCUGGGUUAGGCGCUGCCUUUGAACCCAGGGAAUCCCCUGGGUAGCGAGUGGGACCGGCGUGGGGGUGGGAAGAGCUGCAGUUCUCAUCUGCUGCAGGGCGGGCGGGGACAAGUCACAGUGACUUGGGUUUGGCCCGCCCUGGCUAACACGAGGACUGUUACACCCUUCACCUGGUUGGGUCCUCACAUCGCCCCGCUCAG